CUCUACCACUGAACUACAUCCCUAGUCUUAUUUAUAUACUUAUGUUCCCCCUGAUAAGCAUACCAAACAGGUGCGGUGAAGUGCUGCCACCUGCUGGCUGAGAGCCGCAGCAGCUCCACCUACCAGUGCAGGAUUUUCUUCUUGAAGCUACCUCCGCUGCUAAAUUUCGUUUCUGUGCGCUGUCCUCUGCAUUCAGGGCAAGAGGAUGAUCUUGCAAGCUUGUUUCUGGUAAGUGCCUACCCAUAGCGAUCUGUGUAGUAAACCA
rnacentral:lncRNA from 1 species